UCGGGGGCUAGACGGACGUACUAAGACACUACAACAACAGCAUUUUUUAUUUAUUUUUUACUUUUAUUUUACUAGAUAACAAAAGAAAGAUUAUAGCUUAUCUUUUCUCGGCAUACGACUCAGAAUAAAGUGAUUAAUCAAGCAAAAAUAUCACGAAACUUACUAUUGCAUUUAUAAAAACUUGUUGGUGUCUGUUCAGAAGAAAUAUUUCUACCAUUUCAAGGCAUUUGGUUUUAUGAAGACGUAUUUUAGGGUUUGGAAGCUAAAAGUUUUCAAUGACGUCAUAACAUCCAGGGUUUUCCCAAGCCACCAGCAUCUUGUGAGUCAAGUUCAAAGCGACAAGUAAAUAUAUGUUUGUUUAAAUAAGCGUUUAACAGUUUCAGUAUCUAAUUCUUUAUUUCUAAUUGUGGUUAGAUUAAUUUAACAUGCAUUAAUAUAUGCAAUUAUUUCCAGUGUGUUUUCUAGAUGUAAAUAUAUCUAAAUGAUAUGAUAUAUUUAAAAUAAUGAAGUACCGAUGUAAAUCAAUUGAUUGAGUGAUCCAAGUACAAUUGUAUUUUGUUCAUCUGUCUAAUUUGCAGAAUCAAAUUACUGAUUUGAUAACUAAUAAUUUGAUAUUUAGUAUAUAUUAUGAUUUAUGAAUAUAAACAUUUAUUAUGAGCAAUACAGUUCUAUCAAAAUUCAUGUAUAGAUCUUGUCAAUACAAUUGUAUACUUAAUAAGUAUAAAGAUUUGAUUUUAAAAUUUUAUCAUAAUUAAUGUAGCAGUUUUUAUAAUCAAGGUCUCCUAAUGAGGCCAACAAGACAACUGGUAAUUAAACCUUUCAUUCAUCUCAACAGGAGCUUUACAGUAUGACACCAUAUAAUAAGAUUACCAGAACAAUUGAACCACUGCUUACAUGUGUUGCUCACAAAACAACUUCUCAGUAUUAUCUAAUAAUUUACUCACCAACCUAAUUUUAAACUUUAAUCAUGAACAUUUCUCAUAUCACUUGUUAUAUUAAAUAAUGCUGGUACAUUUCAUUUUUUUAAUCUAAAUUUGAAUUUGCUGGCUAGAGUCUUCAUCGGGUUGGUUAUCUUUCAUAAACUAAUAAAGGCCUCAAUUACUUGAUGCUGGUUUUUCUUUGUUCGUCAGUCAUCAGCCCUCUGGUACUUGAAACAGUUCAAAUUAAUUAAAUCCACUUAGUUUAAAAUAAUAAAGUAUGAAAUUUACACAUCUCUCCAUAAACGAUGAAGUAUAUUAACUCAAAAAUGAUUCAUAAGACUUUCAUACAGAUACAUAUUAAUUAGAAAAGAGGCUUGGUGAUAGGUGGAAAUUUUGUUAACCAAGAUUAUUUGUUUGUUUGUUUGAAGUUAAGCACAAAGCUACACAAUGGGCUAUCUGUGCUUUGCCCACCACGGAUAUCGAAACCCAGAUUCUAGCGUUGUAAGUCCGCAGACAUACCGCUGUGCCACUGGAGGGCUAACCUAGAUCGUGCUCUUUCUGUAUUUGAUAAUGUCUCUUGUUAACCUAGAUUGUGUCCCUUUCUCAUUGUGUAACGUCUAUGUUAGUUUGUUAAUAUAAAUUGUAUUCUUUCCCCAUUGUGUAACGUCUCUGUUAGUUUGUUAAUAUAAAUUGUGUCCCUUUCUCAUUGGGUAACGUCUCUGUUAGUUUUUUAAUAUAAAUUGUGUCCUUUCCCCAUUGUGUAACGUCUCUGUUAGUUUGUUAACCUAGAUUGUGUCCCUUCCUCAUUGUGUAACGUCUCUGUUAGUUUGUUAACCUAGAUUGUGUCCUUUCCCAUUGUGUAACGUCUCUAUUAGUUUGUUAAUAUAAAUUGUGUCAUUUCCCCAUUGUGUAACGUCUCUGUUUGUUAAUAUAAAUUGUGUCAUUUCUCAAUUGGGUAACGUCUCUGUUAGUUUAUUAGUCUAGAUUGUGUCCUUUCUCCAUUGGGUAACGUCUCUGUUAGUUUGUUAACCUAGAUUGUGUCCUUUCUCCAUUAGGUAACAGCUCUGUUAGUUUGUUAACCUAGAUUGUGUCCUUUCCCCAUUGAGUAAUGUAUCUGUUAGUUUGUUAGCCUAGAUUGUGUCCUUUCCCCAUUGAGUAAUGUAGCUGUUAGUUUGUUAACCUAGAUUGUGUCCUUUCCCCAUUGGGUAAUGUAUCUGUUAGUUUGUUAACCUAGAUUGUGUCCUUUCUCAUUGUGUAACGUCUCUGUUAGUUUGUUAACCUAGAUUGUGUCCUUUCCCCAUUGGGUAAUGUAUCUGUUAGUUUAAGCGAAAGUACCCAGUCUGUGUCGAAUAAACUUACUGGCUUCCGUGAAAGUAAAAAAUAAAUAUUUGCAGCACUAACGACUAUUUUUCUACUCACAUAGGAAGUUACAAUGCUUAUAUUACCAUAACAAAAACUUGUAUUUAGUUCUUUAAUUAAUCAGCUCGUACUCAUACGCAACGUUUCAACUUUCAUGUCACCGUAAUUUUUCUAGAUACCCUGUUUAAUUACAAAUUUAUAUAUAUAUGAACAUGGAUUUUCAUUUGUUCCAAGAUUACUCCUGCAUACCUUACUAUACAUCUAAGGUUUUUUUAUGAAGAUAGUUUUAUCCAGGCCUCGCAUCGGCUGAGAUCCUUGGUUUGCUUUCCUACAUUUAACCUAAUAAUCGGAAUUGUAUUGUAUAAAAACCUCGCUUGAGGAUGUCAUCUGCUCUAUUAUGACAGCUAUAAACUACUCAAGUGUUAACCCUAUUUUUAUAUUAUCUAAGGUGAUUACUUUUGUGUUACUGAACACUUAUCAAAUAUGCUAGAAGAUUCAAUGAGAACUAAGGCUUGUUGUUUGACCCACAAGAUGGCGGAAAGGCACAAGGGCACAAAUUCGUGACGUCAUGUGAAAACAAGUGAUUAAUGGCAGUACGUUCACACUUUUGCAUUUGAUGUGCAUGGCCAUAUUUAUAUAUGUGUAAUCCUUUAUAGGUUACAAAAUAUAUCACAAGUGUGAAACAAUGAUGUGCGAUGUUUUUCAUAAUUACCAUAGCAUUCUGUCGUUAUUGUUACAUUCCUUUCACUCAACAAUACUUCAUGCAUACGAUAAAUUGACGGAAUCACCGCCAUUGUUAGCCGGUUUUUGAAAAUCGAAAAUACUUUUCAAUCUAUCAACAGUUGUCCUUAAUAUCCUUUUUUCUGUCUGAGUAGCCCUCCAGUGGCCAGCGAUAUGUCUAUGGAUUUCGAUACCCAUGGUUGGCAGAGCACAGAUAGCCCAUUGUGUAACUUUGUGCUUAACUUCAAACAAAAAUCUCUCUAAGUAACUAUAGAUUCAAUACACAAUAUUCCUGAUGUAGUGAUAUCAAAUUAGACAAAAUAAUAUUAAAUAACGUGUACAUUAAGUAUUUCCAAAUUGUAAUUGCACAGCUCUGGUUGGUUGAAACCUAAUGAGCUCUUCUAAUAUUCUCAUUGCUUUUCAUGUCUAAUUUUCUAUGUUUCCAUGUGCAACCAAUUGUAUCCUGCUUACCACGGCAGGCUUGUGCUGAUGUACAUACAUGAAAAGGUUUGCAUUAUUCUCAAAGUUCCUUUAAAUGUAGUUUUCUCGCAGUUUCUCUGUAAAAACUUCUUUAAGUUUAUUGUAUUAUUCUUGAGCUUAUGGAGUGUUAUAUAAAUGUCCUUUUCACCCAAUAAAGAUAUGAAAAAUA
rnacentral:misc_RNA from 1 species